rnacentral:rRNA from 1 species
CAGCCGCCGCGGGAAUACGGAGGGUGCAGGCGUUAAUCGGAAUUACUGGGCGUAAAGCGCACGCAGGCGGUUUGUUAAGUCAGAUGUGAAAUCCCCGAGCUUAACUUGGGAACUGCAUUUGAAACUGGCAAGCUAGAGUCUUGUAGAGGGGGGUAGAAUUCCAGGUGUAGCGGUGAAAUGCGUAGAGAUCUGGAGGAAUACCGGUGGCGAAGGCGGCCCCCUGGACAAAGACUGACGCUGAGGCACGAAAGCGUGGGGAGCAAACAGGAUUAGAUACCCGUGUAGUCCCUGUCUCUUAUAC